rnacentral:rRNA from 1 species
UUAACACAUGCAAGUCGAACGAAAAGAGGGAAAGAGCUUGCUCUUUCCGGAAUUGAGUGGCAAACGGGUGAGUAACACGUAAACAACCUGCCUUCAGGAUGGGGACAACAGACGGAAACGACUGCUAAUACCGAAUAAGUUCCAAGAGCCGCAUGGCCCAUGGAAGAAAAGGUGGCCUCUACCUGUAAGCUAUCGCCUGAAGAGGGGUUUGCGUCUGAUUAGCUGGUUGGAGGGGUAACGGCCCACCAAGGCGACGAUCAGUAGCCGGUCUGAGAGGAUGAACGGCCACACUGGAACUGAGACACGGUCCAGACUCCUACGGGAGGCAGCAGUGGGGAAUCUUCCGCAAUGGGCGAAAGCCUGACGGAGCAACGCCGCGUGAGUGAUGACGGCCUUCGGGUUGUAAAACUCUGUGAUCCGGGACGAAAAGGCAGAGUGCGAAGAACAAACUGCAUUGACGGUACCGGAAAAGCAAGCCACGGCUAACUACGUG